GAUGAACGCUGGCGGCGUGCCUAAUACAUGCAAGUCGAGCGAACAGAUAAGGAGCUUGCUCCUUUGACGUUAGCGGCGGACGGGUGAGUAACACGUGGGUAACCUACCUAUAAGACUGGAAUAACUUCGGGAAACCGGGGCUAAUGCCGGAUAACAUUUAGAACCGCAUGGUUCUAAAGUGAAAGAUGGUUUUGCUAUCACUUAUAGAUGGACCCGCGCCGCAUUAGCUAGUUGGUAAGGUAACGGCUUACCAAGGCAACGAUACGUAGCCGACCUGAGAGGGUGAUCGGCCACACUGGAACUGAGACACGGUCCAGACUCCUACGGGAGGCAGCAGUAGGGAAUCUUCCGCAAUGGGCGAAAGCCUGACGGAGCAACGCCGCGUGAGUGAUGAAGGUCUUCGGAUCGUAAAACUCUGUUAUUAGGGAAGAACAAAUGUGUAAGUAACUGUGCACGUCUUGACGGUACCUAAUCAGAAAGCCACGGCUAACUACGUG
rnacentral:rRNA from 1 species